rnacentral:lncRNA from 1 species
CCCCGUGGCCCCCGCCGGCGGUGGACAGGGGGAUCGUCCUCCCUCUGCUCGCGGGGUGUCGUGCACUCGGCAGUGAAGUCUCACAGAGGUCCGUGCUCAACGUUGGGCAGGCCCAGCGGAGGGAGUCUGCGGCCCGAGCCCACGUGCGGCGAGUCACUCAAGCACGACGCGCUCUCGUCCGGCCCCGCGGAGGCCCCCGCCCGUGGGCAGCAAGCGCGCGCCAUCCCCGGCUGNGGGAAGCGCUGCCGCCCCGUCGUUCCAGCUGAGAGCAAGGAGGCGCUGGGCCGGACCCUCCCCCGGGGCGCCCAGGCUGGGGGUCUCGGCUGCGACGCCCCUCGGCUCACCCGUGAGGGCCGGUCAGUGUGCCUUCAGAAGGCGAAGCGGGGGGCCGGGAGGCACGCGGGGGGCUGGCUGGCAGCGCCCCGGGUCUCCCCGGCGUACCGAGCGUCAGGGAGAGGGCCUCCCGCACGGAGCGCGCCCUCUCCACGGCUGGGCCGGCAGCCGCAUCGCGCACACCUGCGAGCGGGCCCGCAGGGCAGCCGGGCAGCGGACGCAGCUCAGCAGCCGGUUAGGGGCCCGCGGAGCCCCGAGUCGUGGAGGAGCCGGCGUGCGGCCCUCGGGGCAGUCACACCAAGGACCCGCGCGACCCUGAGGACCGGGCAGGAAGGCCGACAGGAGUGCGUGACGCAUUCACGGGAAGUGCAAGGAAGGAGGUAUGCGGGCUGGGAGCACGAACCACGUGCCUUGUUCUGGGCAGUGUGCGUAUUUGCGUGUGGAGGUCACGUCCAAGGGAGCGAGGUGCCUCUCCCCGACGGCCGCGGCCUGGUGCGGGGGCCUGGCCGACGCGCCCCACCGCGCCCCGCCCCGCCGAGGCCCUCUCGGCCAGGUCGUUGCACCCGCAGAGCCCGAACAGGAGUCGAUACCCAGCCCUCCCCUGGGAACCUGGGAGAGAGCGGGCGGUGGGUGCUUCUGGAGAUUUUCCUUCCAGGGUACCCUCCCGGCUCAUGCUCCGUGACAGCACCCGGAGGCCUGGGGCCCUGCGUGGGGGCAGCCGGGCCAGUCCUGGGCUCAGAAAGGGUUCCCUUUCUCCACAUCCUCAAAAUGUUCCUUAUUUCUAGUUUAUUUCUGGUGAUGACCAUCCGACCAGGUGUGAGACGGUAUCUCACUGGUUUGAUUGGCGGUUCCUUGUUGUCUGCUGACGUCGAGCACCUCUUCACGUGCCUGUUGGGCCUUUGUGGAUCUUUGGAGGAAUUUCUGUUCAGGUCCUUUGUCCAUUUUUAUUUUUAUUUAUUUAUUUUUUUUAAAGAUUUUAUUUAUUUAUUCGACAGAAAUAGAGACAGCCAGCGAGAGAGGGAACACAAGCAGGGGGAGUGGGAGAGGAAGAAGCAGGCUCACAGCAGAGGAGCCUGA